CCUACGGGAGGCAGCAGUAAGGAAUAUUGGUCAAUGGAGGCAACUCUGAACCAGCCAUGCCGCGUGCAGGAUGACGGCCCUAUGGGUUGUAAACUGCUUUUAUACAAGAGAAAACCCUGGUACGUGUACCAGGUUGAUAGUAUUGUAAGAAUAAGCAUCGGCUAACUUCGUGCCAGCAGCCGCGGUAAGACGAAGGAUGCAAGCGUUAUCCGGAUUCAUUGGGUUUAAAGGGUGCGUAGGCGGACUGAUAAGUCAGUGGUGAAAUCUCUUUGCUUAACAAAGAAACUGCCAUUGAUACUGUCGGUCUAGAGUAUAGAUGACGUUGGCGGAAUAUGACAUGUAGUGGUGAAAUACUUAGAUAUGUCAUAGAACACCGAUUGCGAAGGCAGCUAACGAAACUAUAACUGACGCUGAGGCACGAAAGUGCGGGGAUCAAACAGGAUUAGAUACCCUGGUAGUCCGCACCGUAAACGAUGAUUACUCGUUGUUGGCGAUAUGACAGUCAGCGACCAAGCGAAAGCGAUAAGUAAUCCACCUGGGGAGUACGCCGGCAACGGUGAAACUUAAAUGAAUUGACGGCUUGAGACGNGCGAGGACGACGACGAGGGAGGAGG
rnacentral:rRNA from 1 species